AUUGAACGCUGGCGGCAUGCCUUACACAUGCAAGUCGAACGACGCCAGGGGGCAACUCCUGGCGAGUGGCGAACGGGUGAGUAAUACAUCGGAACGUGCCCUGUAGUGGGGGAUAACUAGUCGAAAGAUUAGCUAAUACCGCAUACGACCUGAGGGUGCAAGUGGGGGACCGCCAUGCCUCAUGCUAUAGGAGUGGCCGAUGUCUGAUUAGCUAGUUGGUGGGGUAAAGGCCUACCAAGGCGACGAUCAGUAGCUGGUCUGAGAGGACGAUCAGCCACACUGGGACUGAGACACGGCCCAGACUCCUACGGGAGGCAGCAGUGGGGAAUUUUGGACAAUGGGCGAAAGCCUGAUCCAGCAAUGCCGCGUGUGUGAAGAAGGCCUUCGGGUUGUAAAGCACUUUUGUCCGGAAAGAAAUGGCUCUGGUUAAUACCUGGGGUCGAUGACGGUACCGGAAGAAUAAGGACCGGCUAACUACGUGCCAGCCGCCGCAGUAA
rnacentral:rRNA from 1 species